AGAUGCGAGAGUAGAGCAUAUCAAUAAGCGGAGGAAAAGAAACUAACAAGGAUUCCCUUAGUAACGGCGAGUGAAGCGGGAAGAGCUCAAAUUUGAAAUCUUCAAGGUUCUACCUUGACGAAUUGUAGUUUAAAGAAGUGUUUUCUGUUAGAUGAGUAGCAAAAGUUCCUUGGAAUGGGACAUCAUAGAGGGUGAGAAUCCCGUAUUUGGUUAUUCAUUCUAGCUUUGUGAUACACUUUCAAAGAGUCGGAUUGUUUGGGAAUGCAGUCCAAAAUGGGUGGUAAAUUUCAUCUAAAGCUAAAUAUUGGCGAGAGACCGAUAGCGAACAAGUACCGUGAGGGAAAGAUGAAAAGAACUUUGAAAAGAGAGUUAAACAGUACGUGAAAUUGUCAAAAGGGAAGCGUUUGACACCAGUGUUGUUUUUUCCGAAAAUCAAUUACGAAUGGCUUGAUUUUGUGUUGUAUUGACCUUAUCAGCUUUCUGCACUUUUUUCGAGUCUUUCUUAAUGCACUUUUCGGUUAACAAGUCAACAUCAAUUUCUUUUGUUGUAAAGGAGUAUUCGGAAGGUGGCUUUCUUUUCGGAGAAAGUGUUUAUGGCCCUAUACUUCUACAAUCGGAGAGAUUGAGGUCUGCAGCGCAGAUCCUUCGGGGUUAGAUACACUUGUGCUAAGUUGUAGCUUUUCAUAGACAACUUGUUGACUAUGUUUAGUCAUGCGGCUUACUCGCUUGUGCUAUUUUACCUACGCUUAGGAUGUUGAGCGCAUGUCUCUCUCU
rnacentral:rRNA from 1 species